CACAACCACUCAGCAGGUGCUAGACCUGCUGUUCAAAAGGUACGGUAGAUGUGACGCCCUCACGGCCUCCUCUAGAUAUGGCUGCAUCCUUCCCUACUCCAGUGAGGACGGCGGACCACAGGACCAACUCAAAAAUGCCAUCUCUUCCAUCCUGGGCACCUGGCUGGACCAAUACUCCGAGGACUUCUGUCAACCCCCGGACUUUCCCUGCCUCAAGCAGCUGGUGGCUUAUGUGCAGCUCAACAUGCCUGGCUCAGACCUGGAGCGCCGUGCUCACCUUCUCCUGGCCCAGCUGGAGGACCUGGAGCCCAGUGAGGUUGAGCCUGAGGCCCUGUCCCCAGCUCCAGUGCUGUCUCUGAAACCAGCUUCACAGCUAGAACCAGCUCCCGCCCUGCUUCUGACGCCCAGCCGAGCUGUGGCAUCCACUCCAGUCCGAGAGCCAGCCCCGGUGCCAGUACUGGCAUCCAGCCCGGUGGUGGCGCCAGCCUCUGAGCUAGAACCAGCUCUGGAGCCGCCCCUAGACCCUGAGCCAACCCUCGCACCUGCUCCAGAGCUGGACCCCACUGUCUC
rnacentral:lncRNA from 1 species